GGUGUGCAAAGGCUUAAUAGGGAAGACCGGUGUGAUGCCGGCGCGGUCCCGCCACUGUAAUGGGGAGCGAAUCUAAAGUACAGCAGUGCCCCGGUUCUUUAGGGUGCCACUGUGCUCUGCCACUGGAGCAAUGCUCUGGGAAGGCUUAGAAGAGCGAUGAACCAAAGCCAGGAGAACUGCCUGUUUG
rnacentral:ncRNA from 1 species